GACGAACGCUGGCGGCGUGCUUAACACAUGCAAGUCGAACGAGAUCCAAUGUGUAGCAAUACACAGGAAGAUCUAGUGGCGAACGGGUGAGGAACACGUGAGAAACGUACCCCAGACUUUGGGAUAACAGUCCGAAAGGACUGCUAAUACCAAAUAACGUCGGAAGUCCGCAUGGACAUCUGACGAAAGGGAUUCCGGUUUUGGAGCGUCUGGCGGACCUAUCAGCUAGUUGGAGGGGUAACGGCCCACCAAGGCAACGACGGGUAGCUGGUCUGAGAGGAUGGUCAGCGACACUGGGACGGAGACGCGGCCCAGAAUCCUACGGGAGGGAGCAGUGGGGAAUCGUGCGAAACGGGCGAAAGCAUGACGGAGCAACGCCGCGAGAGGGAAGAAGGCUGUGGGGAUGUAAACCGCUUGCAGGAGGAACGAAACUGACGGUACCUACAGAAGAAGGAGCGGCCAACUAUGUG
rnacentral:rRNA from 1 species